UGUCAGUCAGGCUGUUUUACUUACAUUUAGCAAAUCACUGAGCCCUGAUCCACAAAGCACCAAACCUCUCUCCUGUCUGGUGCACCCAUGGCCUUCAGUACCUUGUUGGUAACCCUCUUGACUGUGUCAGGUGUUCUUGGCCAGAACAGAUGGGGAGUGACUUACACCCCUGAGAGAAUCUGUGCCU